AUUUAAAAACAUGCAUUAAUAUACAUAUAUUUUAUGCUUCCCUUAUUGGUGUGAGGUUAUGAUUUUAAAGGUGUAAAACAUCCAAUGUCAUGCUUUAUAAAUUCUAAAAUGUAUUUCAAAUUGUUCGAGUCGAGGAGUCUAAUACUGUGAGAAAAACUCAGUCACACUAUUCUUCACAAUGAUAUACUGAAAACAGUGGUAAUGCUAUUAGAUUAAGGUAAGUUUGCAGUGAGCUAUAUAAGUCAAACUACACACAGGUUUAUAAAUAAUACAUACAAUAGGUGGAACACACAUCUGUAGAAUCUAAAAAACAGGAUAGAACAUCAUAGUGUAAUAUGUCAAAAAUGAACAGUAAUAGAUGGAAUUAGAGCAGUAUUACUCACAAGCCUGGAGCCAAUAUUAACAUAUGGCUCUUAUGUGCAGCGCAGUGGGACUUUUACAUGGAUGUCCCCAUCCCUCUUGGUAUUCCUCCUUUGGUGAUAUGGUGAUGGUAGAAGAUCACACUAUUCCAAUCUGUAUCCAAUGAGGGAACUUUAUUAUGAAAAACAAUCAAUAUAUAAAAAAUUAUAAGGAAAUCAAUAUUCCCAGUAAAAAUAAAAAUAUAGACAAUAUGUCCAAUUAAAAGUCCAAUAUGCAGACUGUAGUAGUCCAAAACGCGUUUCGCCCUAUGGUGGGGGCUUCCUCAGUUGGCAUUAGUCUGUAUACCGAGUGGCUGGUUCUUGGCGUCCUUAUAAAGCACUUUUCUUCUUCACUUUCGGGUUUUAUGUGUUUGGAACGCAUCGUGCGUUCCACCGCCGGUUUCCUGUAUAAUACUUCCGGUUUGGUGUUGUAUCGGCAUCUUCCUAUGUGUCACUUCCGGUUUCGGUCUGUGGAACGCUUCUAUGAUGUCACUGGAACGCAUAGAGUCGGAUCCAUGCGUUCCACUGCAGAUAACUUUGCAUACCAUUGUGUAUUAAUCAUAUAGCGUCCCUAGGUGGUUUCUCAAUAUAUGUUACCUCUAAUCCAUUACAUAUACACAGAAAAACAUAAAUCAGAAAACAAAAUUAUUCUUAUUAUUCAGAAAUUAUUAUAAUUUUGUUUUCUGAUUUAUGUUUUCCUGUGUAUAUGUAAUGGAUUAGAGGUAACAUAUAUUGAGAAACCACCUAGAGACGCUAUAUGAUUAAUACACAAUGGUAUGCAAAGUUAUCUGCAGUGGAACGCAUGGAUCCGACUCUAUGCGUUCCAGUGACAUCAUAGAAGCGUUCCACAGACCGAAACCGGAAGUGACACAUAGGAAGAUGCCGAUACAACACCAAACCGGAAGUAUUAUACAGGAAACCGGCGGUGGAACGCACGAUGCGUUCCAAACACAUAAAACCCGGAAGUGAAGAAGAAAAGUGCUUUAUAAGGACGCCAAGAACCAGCCACUCGGUAUACAGACUAAUGCCAACUGAGGAAGCCCCCACCAUAGGGCGAAACGCGUUUUGGACUACUACAGUCUGCAUAUUGGACUUUUAAUUGGACAUAUUGUCUAUAUUUUUAUUUUUACUGGGAAUAUUGAUUUCCUUAUAAUUUUUUAAUAUAUUGAUUGUUUUUCAUAAUAAAGUUCCCUCAUUGGAUACAGAUUGGAAUAGUGUGAUCUUCUACCAUCACCAUAUCACCAAAGGAGGAAUACCAAGAGGGAUGGGGACAUCCAUGUAAAAGUCCCACUGCGCUGCACAUAAGAGCCAUAUGUUAAUAUUGGCUCCAGGCUUGUGAGUAAUACUGCUCUAAUUCCAUCUAUUACUGUUCAUUUUUGACAUAUUACACUAUGAUGUUCUAUCCUGUUUUUUAGAUUCUACAGAUGUGUGUUCCACCUAUUGUAUGUAUUAUUUGUAUUUCUAUUUAAGUGGUAGAAGGGGUUUCCACUUAGGUGGUCAGUAGUUAUUUUUAACUACCACACACUUUUUUCUCACUGUAUUUUCACCAUUUUAUAUACACACAGGUUUAUGUCCACUUACUUUGGCUAACUUCCUCCUGCCACUAAUGGUGUUAUGCAGCUGAAUGGUAUUCUAUUUGAUGGUCCUUGUUUCUGAAUCACUGUUUCUGUUAACUAUAUUUACUGUUUGUAUAAUGCCAGUCUAGCCUUGUUAACCAUAAGUCACUAUUACGGGUACUUAAACACCUUAAGUUCUGCGUAACACCUUUUGCUACUUGGUUGAUGAUUUGCACUGUUCUUUAUGUCUCUGUAUUACCAUGUACUUUCAAUAAAGG